UAGCUGGUUUCAGCAAGGAUCUGCCCUUCCAAACUGGGCUCUGAGUGUAAAGGCUGUGACAGAAUUUAAUGCUCGGAAAAAUAAUACUUGUGUGAAUCAAGUGCUGAAGUGGUACAAGUAUCCAUAUUUUGUCUAAAAUUGUCAAAAGCCUUAAGGAAAUGAUCAGUCAUUUCUUUUUAAAGCGGUGUUAAAGUUCACCCACACUUGUACAAACAGCAGCAUGCAGGUAAUGCUGCAUGCCACCCUGUUUAUCCUGGAAAAAGCAGAAAAGUUUAGUUUUAUUUCUGGGUUAACUAUGUACAUGCAAACAUGCUAACCAGAGUGAGGCAGACACCAGAGACUCUCUUGGCUCAGCUGGGCAUGGGGAGCCAAGGUUUCCCUCAGCCCUGCUCUGCAAAUGCCAGUGGGGCUUUGCUGAGGCUGUUCAGGGCCUUUCCUGAGCACCACCAACACCUGGUACUUCUCCCACACCUGCGUGGGGGCUGCUCCGAGUGCUACGCCAGCCCCACAGUAUGGGGGAUUAAUGCUAAUGGGCUCCUCUUGGCCUCGCUGCAUCCAUGGCCCAUGAGGGACAGAAGAAGCUGUUGUGGGUCUGCAUGCAGCCCUGGCUCUCUCUGCUCCCACAUGGCUGAUAUGGAGGUGAGGCGAGGCCCUGGCAUGCCAAGAGAGGAAAUGGAGCACGGCAGAACCGCCCGUGGAGCGGAGCGGAGCUGGGAUGCUGCACUGAACCGUGGAGAUGCCAUACCAAGCACAACUCGUGGUUGCAAACCAGGCUACCCGGUUCUAAAUCGCAUCCAACUUUUUUUUUGAGCCAGGCAACUAAAUAUUUCUGAAGCUUAUUAAAUUAACCAGUUAGACCAAGGCAAUAUACAAGUGAGUUGUUCUGGGGCUGCGUGAAAAGGUUUGCACACAACGAAAAGGUUCUUCAUGUGCUGCAAAAUGUAAUGUGAAGCCAGCGAAUCUGUUACCCAAAGAAUCCCCAUGGUUUGGACUAGGAAGAAGCAUCCUCCAAAGCUGAUAACGUGAACCUGAUGCUGGGCACCCAAAAUUCUGGGGGAGUUCAGUCCAUGCUCAGCUCUCCCUGAUGUGAAACAUACUCACUUUGGCUCUUGCACACUGUCUAAGAGGUGACAGAUCUUCAAGUUGGGUAAACAUCUCUAGUUUGUCUCUGAUACGAACAGAGCUUGUCUGUGUUUGUGAUUUGGCUUGCACUCUUUGCAUUACAUCGCUGCGUGGGGACUCUGCGAUUGACAGUAAGAUGCUACACAAGAUGCCGGUCUUACUGCAAAGACCUUCUGUUACUGAGUAAGCUUUGUGUGUCAGCCCACGCAAACGUGCUGUACUUGAUUAAUCGUGUUCAUUAGGGUUGUAUUUUCAGGCAGCCGAGAACAGGGCUCCCUUAUGCUGGGCACUGCGCAGCUCCGGAGCACCAGCAGUGCUUUGUUUCCCGUGUGACGUGCCAAUGUCUUUCUCCAGGCCAGACCUGCUUUCUAAUUCAAGUGACAAAAUUAGUGAAAAACUGGUUUGCGUCUUGCUCUUCCAUCCGCCUGGGCAUGUUUGGGAAUCCCUUAGAAUGACUGAAUUCAGUGGUUUAAGCUCUUUUUUAUUUAUUUUAUUUUAUUUUUUAUUGCACACCUCCCACAAUAACUCUGAAGGAGCUUCAUAAUGGAAAUGCUGACACAACGCUAUCGCCUCAGCCCCAGGAGUGUGUUCCACCUUCUAUUGUUUGCCUUGGCCUCUGUAUAUUGUAUACUGCCUCAGUUUAAUUGGUUAAUUUAAUAAACUUCUGAAGUGCUGUAUCAGUUGUCUGGCUUAGCUUUCAUCCACUAGCCUGAUGAAGAACGUAUAAGUUUCAAAAGCUUUCCUGUAUGAAGUUAAUCAAAUAAAAGGUAUCUCCUACCGUACGCUGCAUGUAUUUCUUGGAAGGACUGCUUGAACCGACACAUUUUUACAAU